GAAGCCCGAGAAGCCCGCGGGGCAAGCCCGAAACAAUAGCUAGAAUAAUAUCUAAGCUAAGGUAAAUGUGGAAGCAAUAUAUGACCAUAAUUAUAUAGGGAUGUAUAUAAUCACUAUAGUCAUAAACUCUAAUAAUUAAAGCAAAAAUAAGUGUCUUUAUGCCAUAAUUUAACUUUUGACCUUUGUUGGACUUUGCAAAAGAGGGAACUGAACUUUCUUUAAAAUAGCCACUUUUUGCAAAAUCCUUUCCAUUUUGCACACUAGAACCAUUUUCAACUAACUUCUUAGAUGGGGUUUCAUAAAAAUAACCAUCUUGAAAAGGGUUGUUUUCAAUUUUAUCAAUUGAGCUUGGAAAUUGAGUUUCUUGAAAAUGGUCAUUUUUUGCAAAAUCCUUUUUUUCAUUAGAUGGGGUUUCUUGAAAAUGAUUAUUUUGAUGAAAUUUAUCUCUAUUUUCCACAUAAAUUUGAGAUUUUUGUUGAAUCUUGAUAGGUAAACAAGCAA
rnacentral:misc_RNA from 1 species